rnacentral:rRNA from 1 species
UUAGUGUGCUGAACGGGUGAGUAACACGUGGGCAAUCUGCCCUUCACUCUGGGACAAGCCCUGGAAACGGGGUCUAAUACCGGAUACGACCCGGAAGCGCAUGCUUCUGGGUGGAAAGCUCCGGCGGUGAAGGAUGAGCCCGCGGCCUAUCAGCUUGUUGGUGGGGUAAUGGCCUACCAAGGCGACGACGGGUAGCCGGCCUGAGAGGGCGACCGGCCACACUGGGACUGAGACACGGCCCAGACUCCUACGGGAGGCAGCAGUGGGGAAUAUUGCACAAUGGGCGAAAGCCUGAUGCAGCGACGCCGCGUGAGGGAUGACGGCCUUCGGGUUGUAAACCUCUUUCAGCAGGGAAGAAGCGAAAGUGACGGUACCUGCAGAAGAAGCGCCGGCUAACUACGUGCCAGCAGCCGCGGUAAUACGUAGGGCGCAAGCGUUGUCCGGAAUUAUUGGGCGUAAAGAGCUCGUAGGCGGCUUGUCACGUCGGAUGUGAAAGCCCGGGGCUUAACCCCGGGUCUGCAUUCGAUACGGGCUAGCUAGAGUGUGGUAGGGGAGAUCGGAAUUCCU